UGAUGAAGAACGCAGCGAAAUGCGAUAAGUAAUGUGAAUUGCAGAAUUCAGUGAAUCAUCGAAUCUUUGAACGCACAUUGCGCCCGCUAGUAUUCUGGCGGGCAUGCCUGUCCGAGCGUCAUUUCAACCCUCAAGCCCCCGGGCUUGGUGUUGGGGAUCGGCGAGCCUCCGCGCCCGCCGUCCCCUAAAUCUAGUGGCGGUCUCGCUGUAGCUUCCUCUGCGUAGUAGCACACCUCGCACUGGGAAACAGCGCGGCCACGCCGUUAAACCCCCAACUUCUGAACGUUUGACCUCGGAUCAGGUAGGAAUACCCGCUGAACUUAAGCAUAUCAAUAAGCGGAGGA
rnacentral:misc_RNA from 1 species